rnacentral:rRNA from 1 species
UAGCGACAGGCUUAACACAUGCAAGUCGAGGGGCAGCGGGGGUAGCGAUACCCGCCGGCGACCGGCGCACGGGUGAGUAACGCGUAUGCAACUUGCCUAUCAGAGGGGGAUAACCCGGCGAAAGUCGGACUAAUACCGCAUGAAGCAGGGAUCCCGCAUGGGAAUAUUUGCUAAAGAUUCAUCGCUGAUAGAUAGGCAUGCGUUCCAUUAGGCAGUUGGCGGGGUAACGGCCCACCAAACCGACGAUGGAUAGGGGUUCUGAGAGGAAGGUCCCCCACAUUGGUACUGAGACACGGACCAAACUCCUACGGGAGGCAGCAGUGAGGAAUAUUGGUCAAUGGGCGCGAGCCUGAACCAGCCAAGUCGCGUGAGGGAUGAAGGUUCUAUGGAUCGUAAACCUCUUUUAUAAGGGAAUAAAGUGCGGGACGUGUCCCGUUUUGUAUGUACCUUAUGAAUAAGGAUCGGCUAACUCCGUGCCAGCAGCCGCGGUAAUACGGAGGAUCCGAGCGUUAUCCGGAUUUAUUGGGUUUAAAGGGUGCGUAGGCGGCCUUUUAAGUCAGCGGUGAAAGUCUGUGGCUCAACCAUAGAAUUGCCGUUGAAACUGGGAGGCUUGAGUAUGUUUGAGGCAGGCGGAAUGCGUGGUGUAGCGGUGAAAUGCUUAGAUAUCACGCAGAACCCCGAUUGCGAAGGCAGCCUGCCAAGCCAUGACUGACGCUGAUGCACGAAAGCGUGGGGAUCAAACAGGAUUAGAUACCCUGGUAGUCCACGCAGUAAACGAUGAUCACUAGCUGUUUGCGAUACAUUGUAAGCGGCACAGCGAAAGCGUUAAGUGAUCCACCUGGGGAGUACGCCGGCAACGGUGAAACUCAAAGGAAUUGACGGGGGCCCGCACAAGCGGAGGAACAUGUGGUUUAAUUCGAUGAUACGCGAGGAACCUUACCCGGGUUUGAACGCAUUCGGACCUAGGUGGAAACACCUUUUCUAGCAAUAGCCGUUUGCGAGGUGCUGCAUGGUUGUCGUCAGCUCGUGCCGUGAGGUGUCGGCUUAAGUGCCAUAACGAGCGCAACCCUUGCCACUAGUUACUAACAGGUAAAGCUGAGGACUCUGGUGGGACUGCCAGCGUAAGCUGCGAGGAAGGCGGGGAUGACGUCAAAUCAGCACGGCCCUUACAUCCGGGGCGACACACGUGUUACAAUGGCGUGGACAAAGGGAAGCCACCUGGCGACAGGGAGCGAAUCCCCAAACCACGUCUCAGUUCGGAUCGGAGUCUGCAACCCGACUCCGUGAAGCUGGAUUCGCUAGUAAUCGCGCAUCAGCCAUGGCGCGGAGAAUACGUUCCCGGGCCUUGUACACACCGCCCGUCAAGCCAUGGGAGCCGGGGGUACCUGAAGUCCGUAACCGCAAGGAUCGGCCUAGGGUAAAACUGGUGAC